rnacentral:lncRNA from 1 species
GGGAAUUUGCACCUCAUUAUGUCACUCCCCAAAAUCCGAGGAGUGCGACCAGCGCUCAACCGAGUAAACCCGACCGAGCAAGCCUAUUAGACCUCAUUCUAACCAAACUAACUCAUGAAUAAAUUGGAGAUGGACUCCAUUAAUCAAAUUCUAUAAACAUAUCAGUAACGAUUUCCAUUUCAUUUUCCUUAGAAACUUCAUUCGCCAUAUUAAAAGUAUUACAAGUUUUAUACAUCAUUGCCAAACAUCAAUAUUUCUAUUUUAAAUUCCCAUGCCCGACACUACCCACAACCUGUCUACGGAGCCUCUAAAUACAACUGAAGAAUAAUAUGGAAAUGGUGGCAACAAGUCUCCGGCUAUACCUUACACAAAUACCAAAAUAAGACUCCGGGAAGAAAAGCGGCAUGAGCCACGCAGGGCCCCGAGAGGAAAGGGGAUCACCAAUACAGCUGACGGAAGGUAGAGGAGGUGCUACUACCGGUGGACUGGAGUACCUGCUUUAGAACCACCUACAAUCAUAACACGAAUGUAGCGCCCCCGGCAAAAGGGACGUUAGUACAUUUGAAUUGUACUGGUAUGUAUGUACAAACUUUACCNNNNNNNNNNNNNNNNNNNNNNNNNNNNNNNNNNNNNNNNNNNNNNNNNNNNNNNNNNNNNNNNNNNNNNNNNNNNNNNNNNNNNNNNNNNNNNNNNNNNNNNNNNNNNNNNNNNNNNNNNNNNNNNNNNNNNNNNNNNNNNNNNNNNNNNNNNNNNNNNNNNNNNNNNNNNNNNNNNNNNNNNNNNNNNNNNNNNNNNNNNNNNNNNNNNNNNNNNNNNNNNNNNNNNCUCACCAAUACAGCUUACGGAAAGUGGAUAAGGUGCUACUAUCGGUGGACUGGAGUACCUGCUGUAGAACCACCUACAAUCAUAAGACGAAUGUAGCGCCCCCGGCAAAAGGGACGUCAGUACAUUUGAAUUGUACUGGUAUGUAUAAACAAACUUCACCCCAAGUAAAAUCAAAUAACACACAAGUAACAGACAUCAAUAGAAUCAACGAUCAAAAGCACGUCAAAGAAACAAUCAAAGCCAAACAAGUUUCACAAUCUCUCUUUUUCCCCUUCAACAUUAUCACAUCAAUGAUUUCACAAUUUUCUCAUAUUUUCAUUUCAAUAGUGAUUUCGAUCACUUUCCACCCUUAUUACCUCGGCCACCCUUAUCACCACAACCCACACCUUACAACUUCGUGUUGCGGUGCACAACCCGAUCCCACCGGACAAUUACAUUUCACACAACAAUAGUAGUUCACAGUUCAAUCACAUGGCUUCGGGCCAUCCAGAAUAUCAUUUCGCAACAACAACAAUUCACAAGAAUUUUCAUAAACAUCAAUACCAAUUCCAUCAUAUACAAUAACCCGUAUACAAUUCAAGUCACAACGAUAAUUGCCCACAAUAAGUCACUGAUGAUAUUACCACCGUUGUUUUAAUUGCAUCAAUUACGAUUUAUUUUCUAUCAUUUAUUACACAGCUCUUACUACAUAACCAUAUUCACACACACACACUUGGUUUGUUGCCAUUUAUUUACGCCACUAUACACAUUCCCACGUUUGGACACAUUAAGAUUCUUUCAUCCGUUAACACAUACUUCCAUGUCGACAUCCUCAACCAUUUACAAACUUUGCACAUAAUAAGAUAGGCACAUCAAAUCACUUCUCACAAUCACAUAUAACUUGGUGAUAUGGAAAUCAACUAAGUCAAUCAAUUCACAUAUUUUCAUAAAAGGUACACAUACCGUAUGCUCGUCAUAACAAGGGGAUUCUACAAGAGUUAAAGUUAGUCAUACAUACCUCAAAGAGCUUUUCCUUAAGUUACUACAACGUUCCGGAAAUUCUAGCCAUGCCCAUCUACUUCGAGACAUUACAAAAUUGAACACAAAUUAGGAAGAUAUUCAUAAUUCUAGCUCAUUUGAGCAUUUUAUCAAAUUCUAGUUGAGCAUCUUGAUUUCAAAUCUCUUUUUCAAGGUUUUCCUUCAUUCCCCAACCAAAUCUUUACUUAUUUAUGUUAAACAAUCUUCCAAUAAACCUAAGUUGUACAUGCAUAUAUACACAAUACUAAUACACCCAAGAAUCAUACCUCAAUAACCUAUCUUAUACUCCAAACUCGAAAUUAAAACCUAGGGUAUAGAACCUUACCUCUUAGAUGAAGAACUUAUGAUUGGGUCCUUUGAUUGUUGAGGAUUGAUGCAAGAUUUGGAUGAUUUAAAUGUUGGGUUCCUCCUUAUCUCUCUAAAAUGCUCUCACCUCUCUCUAAAAUCAGUAGAGAAUGACCCCAAAUGAAUCCCCAAAGACUAUAAAUUAAAAUGGGGUCGGGUUAUAAAAAUAGGGAAAUUAACCCUCCGAUGUCGGGUCUGCUAUAGCAAAAUGGACCGCAAAACGAGAAUGCUGGCCGCAUAAUGCAUCGCAAAAUCGGCACCCAAACCUGGGCUACACUGUCCCAGUUUGCGACAGAAUUGCGACCGCAAAGUCAUAAAUGUGAUAGGAUUUGCGGUCGCAGAUUUAACAUUGGAUCGCAUUUUUCCAGCCUUUGGUAAUUUUAUCAUAGCUUUGUGUAGGAAUAUCCAAAUGACUAACGGUUUGAAGCGUUGGAAACUAGACUCAAAGAGCUUUCAUAUGAUAGGUUGUUCAUAACAUUAAACUUUAUAUAUACUUAGAUAGGCUCGUUCAAAGUGGGGGCUUGUGCGAACUCAUUUGAAAUCUUAGCCUAUUAUGAACUUUUCCAAUUUUCCUUAGACUUAGGCCUUUCCUUGGACCCAAAAAUUACUUACAAUAAGACUUGUCCACAUAUUUUCCAAAUAUUAUUGAUGCCCACCAUGUUAAUAACAUAUAAAAUAGUUUAAUAAGCCUACAUGGCACCACGAAAUCCUAGGUUGCUUAGCGAAAUUUUCCGGGGCCUUACAUUCUCCCCCCCCCCCCCUAGGAUCAUUCGUCCUCGAAUGAUAAUUGGAGUCAAUCCACAAUUACUUAGUAACUUAUCUCCUUUCUCACACAUCUUUAACUCCCAAAACUUGACUAACUCCCAAAUGUUUUAGAAAUUUCGGCAGAGUUUCCCUUGUAACUAGGACUAUCCACCUGUCAGAGGGCCCCAGAAACACACCUCAACAACAUAUACGUGAUCAAAUGACGCAACAAAACAUAAAACAACACCAACCGUAGUCCCAUAAUGAACAUAUAAUUGGAAAUGAAUGCUCUUACAUUUGCUGAACAAGCGAUAAAAAAUUUAUGUGAAACAACUUCAUAGAACUAUUUCAUUGCUAUUCAAACAAACGAGGGGUACUUCUUUUUCAUUUCUUACUUAGCUUCCCAAGUGGUUUCCUCAACCUGUUGGUUUCUCCAUAACACUUUCACGGAGGCAAUUUAUUCAUUUCUCAACUUUCAGACUUGCCUAUCAAGAACGACAAUUGAGAAUUCUUCAUAUAACAUCUCUUCGACGAACAUUCAAAUAGGACUUUUGACGGUUCUGAGAAGUUUUCAACCGCUCCUUAAUAAUCUUAACCUUCUCCCUAGCCCAAUGCACAAGAUUUAGCCCUAUCAAUUCAGCUUCUCCAACCUCGAACCACCUAAUAGGAGAUCUAUAUCUCCUACCAUAUAAUGCUCAAAAUAGUGCCAUCUGAGUACUAGCAUGAAAGUUGUUGCUAUAAGCAAACUCUAUGAGGGGUAAAUAUUCAUCCCAGCUACCUUUGAAUUCAAGAACACAAGCACACAACAUAUCCUCAAGCGUCUGAAUGGUCCGCUCUGCCUGCCCAUCAGUUUGUAGAUAAAAGGCUAUACUAAGAUUUACUUGAGUACCCAAACAUUGCUGAAAUUUCUUCUUAAAGUUUGUCGUGAAUUAAGCCCCUCGAUCUGAAAUGAUUGAGACUGGAGUGCCAUGCAACUUGACUAUUUCUUUGAUAUACAGUUGAGCAUACUGCUCCGCCGCAAGCGACGACUCAACCCUAUUUUUGCACAAUUUCCCUACCUUCACCAGACAUGCCAAGACAAACUUUCAAACUAGCCACUGGUGAACCUCCAUGGCCAAUUACCUUUGACAUAUCUCCAAGUGAGCUAAACUAUCUAUAUAUUUCUGGCUAAGAGCAUCCGCCACAACACUGGCCUUUUCCGGGUGAUAGACAAUCUCAACAUCAUAGUCCUUAAGUAACCCGAGCCAUCCUUUCUGUCUUAGAUUCAACUCCUUUUGUUUAAAAAAUAUAUUGAAGGCUCUUGUGGUUCAUAAAUACAUCAACAUGGACCCCAUACACAUAGUGUCGCCAAAUCUUUAUACAAAAACCAGUUCUAAUUCAUGUGUCGAAUAGUUCUUUUCAUGAUUCUUGGGUUGCCUUGAAGCAUAAGCGAUCACCUGGUCAUGUUGCAUCAAUAGUGGACCAUCUAUGUCCCAUUUCUCUGACAUUUGACCUCCUAGGAUUUGAGUUCUUCAAUAAUUUCCUUGAUAUGGUUACAAUCUUUUUUGAAUAUAUGCAACUUGCUCUUCCAAAUUCUCAACAAAAGACAUUAUUGGAUGAGUUUUCUUAUAGGACCUUUUAUUUCAAAGAAAUCAUAUCUUCUAGACUUCGGACACACUUUCACAUCAUCAACAUGCACGACAUUGCAUCAAAUGUAAUGUAACAUUGUGCUCAGACCUUUCCUGAUCAACCUUUUUCCCCCUUACGUGACUUAUAGAAUUUAAGAAACCACUCUACUUCCCUUGUGAAUAUUCUCACGAUCUCUCUUUAUUGUUCAACACUUCCCAAAACACAUAUCAUCACCCUUUAUAUGUAUACAAUUUCGGAAGAGUCACUGGCCCGAGAAGGGCAUUCUCUGAAACUUGAGAUCCUCCUCAAUUCUUCAACAACAACUUUUUAUUUUACUCUUAAGUGUAAGACUUAGUCUACCUGAUUCUAUCCUCGAUGAGUAACUCACCUCAUUCCCCGUAUUGUAGCAACCAAUAGAGUUUCCUGAUAUUGCGGUUUAAGAGUUACCAUGUUAAACAUGUCUGGUCUGUAACAAGUGUUCAUCCUCUUUCAAUCUAUUUUGAACCUUUCAUUUGCCCUUUGAUAGAUUGUGUUGUCUUUCCUUUUUGAUCGCCCUUUGGCCGGGACAAUAUGCUGGUACCAUCUUUUCUUUCUAAUUAGAACAUUCAUCCCCAUUCUAUUUUGCUCAUAGUGCAUAAUUGAUAGCCUUAUUAUGACCCGCACUUGUCUGCCUCCCGUGAACUUAUAAUAUCAUUGUGGCUGGUUUAGUGAGUUUAUCAUACCACAAUUUCACCUCCAGUAGCCUUACUUUCAAUUGUAUGUAGACACGAACUGUCUCUAGCUUCUUUAGUUACCAUUCAGUGUCACCCAAGUCGGUAGCAUUACGGUUAGUCCUUUAUACCUUCUAUUAACACUUGUGCUCCAGGCGAGUCCACCACUCUGAUAUGAACUAUUUUGCGAUAACCAUGGACAUCUCAAUUUAUAGAUUUUCUUCACAUUUCUUCUCGCCUCAUAAUUCCUAGCCAGUGAAUAGCCAUGCACCCUUCCACAUGUUACGUGGUCUUUUCCCUUAGUUAUUUCAUCCCUGCUCACCUCUUAACUCUUGUUAGGAUAUCCAUGGGAAAGUGUGCUCAUCCGCAUAUCAUUUAACACUUCUUUGCUUGUAAGAUUCUUUAGAGGCUCUCCAUCAAGCCCAAAUACCCUCUUGGGUUAUUAUAGCAUCAUAUUUAUUUCUCCCACUAGUUCCACCUUUCUUAACGCCUUGGUACUUUGAUUAAAUCACAAAUCUAUGAUUAACCCAUUCUUAAAUCCCACAACCUUCCACAUUUUACCUAUAGUACUUCGUUAGGUUCCAUUGUUCCUGACCCUCUAACAAGUAUAAGAUCCCAUUACAAACGUACUCUUAGUUUCUAGGAUCGUUGACCUUAUCAUUCACAUUGCCCUGUAUGAAGAAUUUACCUUCCUUAACCUUCAACCUUCUUGGGGGUACUAGCGGUCUAGCAUUAGCAUAUCCUUUCAGAUAAUCACGUCAUCCAUUAUCACUUUUCUAGACUAUGCAUGUCUUCAACAAAAUAUUCAAACAUCAUAUCUACAUGAUCUUACUCUUGUUUCAUUGUAUUUAAGUGGCCUUACUAUGGCCUUUCCUCCCCCACUUAGGGAGAAUGUCCCGGAUUUUGACACAAGUCUUGAAUUUAGCAACUUUAGGGACAUAUGUCUCAUAUCUCUAUCCCUCAUAUAUAUGUUCGACUAUUAGGGAAAUUUAAGUCAUCAUGGUAUUAACCUCAUAAGUUUUCUACUCUUAUUCGGCCACACGGGCUUGGGAUUCCAAUUCCAAAUAUCAAUAUCCUUUAGGAGUGUAACAUCACUUUGUACACUUCUGGAGUUUUAUGAAGUUCGUAGUAUAGGGGUCUUCUCAUCGUGGGUUUAAUUGACUCUCAUUUCAUAACUUUUUGUCUCCUAGGAGAGACUUGCACUCUCAUCAUUAAUCUCCUGGUCAUGUCUCCCAUAUAUCACGUGCUUAUAUUACCAAUUUUCCUUCACACCUUAGGAUCAUUUACAUACUUCUCACACUACCCAUAUGUGUUAUUCAAGCUUACAUAUCACUUAUCAAUUCAAUGUUUCUUUGGAGGUCACAAUCAUUUUUAACACUUUCUCGAAUAAAGUAUGCUUCUGGUACUAUGUACGUACCACAUAUAUUCGUACAAUUUGUUCAACAUGAUACAUGUGCCAUCUCCUUAAUAUUCAGGCCUUUGCCCAUUGGUCAUUCCAUAUGACAACGUUACUUGAAAUAGACGAAAGAGCAUUUAAACUUACCUUGAACCUCAACGCACGAGUUAGAAGACAAUCUCAUAGUCAAGCUUUAUUGCAUGAUCUGGAGUGUUGAAGAAGGGUAACAUUCCUAAAUGCCCAUGUAGCCUCCAACUUAUAGAUGUGGUCGACAACACACCGAUAAGAGGGACUCUACAAGACACGGCUCCGAGACAUCCUAGGACACUUUAAAACCUUAGGCUCUGAUACAAAGUUUGUCACGCCCCAAAAUCCGAGGAGCGCGACCGGCGCUCCACCAAGUAAACCCGACCGAGCAAGCCUGUUAGACCUCAUUCUACCCAAACUAACUCAUGAAUAAAUUGGAGAUGGACUCCAUUAAUCAAAUUCUAUAAACAUAUCAGUAACGAUUUCCAUUUCAUUUUCAUUAUCAACUUCAUUCGCCAUAUUAAAAGUAUUACAAGUUUUAUACAUCAUUGCCAAACAUCAAUAUUUCUAUUUUAAAUUCCCAUGCCCGACACUACCCACAACCUGUCUACGGAGCCUCUAACUACAACUAAAGAAUAAUAUGGAAAUGCCGACAACAAGGCUCCGGCUAUACCUUACACAAAUACCAAAAUAAGACUCCGAGAAGAAAAACGGCAUGAGCCACGCAGGGCCCCGAGAGGAAAGGGGCUCACCAAUACAGCUGACGGGAAGUGGAUAAGGUGGUACUAUCGGUGGACUGGAGUACCUGCUAUAGAACCACCUACAAUCAUAACACGAAUGUAGCGCCCCCGGCAAAAGGGACGUCAGUACAUUUGAAUUGUACUGGUAUGUAUAAACAAACUUCACCCCAAGUAAAAUCAAAUAACACACAAGUAACAGACAUCAAUAGAAUCAACGAUCAAAUGCACGUGAAAGAAACAAUCAAAUACAAACAAGUUUCACAAUCUCUCUUCUUCCCCUUCAACAUUAUCACAUCAAUGAUUUCAUAAUUUUCUCAUAUUUUCAUUUCAAUAGUGAUUUCGAUCACUUUCCACCCUUAUUACCUCGGCCACCCUUAUUACCUCGGCCACCCUUAUCACCACAACCCACACCUUAUAACUUCGUGUUGCGGUGCACAACCCGAUCCCACCGGACAAUUACAUUUCACACAACAACAGUAGUUCACAGUUCAAUCACAUGGCUUCGGGCCAUCCAGAAUAUUAUUUCUCAACAACAACAAUUAACAAGAAUUUUCAUAAACAUCAAUACCAAUUCCAUCAUAUACAAUAACCCGUAUACAAUUCAAGUCACAACGAUAAUUGCCCACAACAAGUCACCGAUGAUUUUACCACCGUUGUUUCAAUUGCAUCAAUUACGAUUUCUUUUCUAUCAUUUGUUACACAGCUCUUACCACAUAACCAUAUUCACACACACACACUUGGUUUGUUGCCAUUUAUUUAUGCCACUAUACACAUUCCCACGUUAGGACACAUUAAGAUUCUUUCAUCCGUUAACACAUACUUCCAUGUCAACAUGCUCAACCAUUUACAAACUUUGCACAUAAUAAGAUAGGCACAUCAAAUAACUUCUCACAAUCACAUAUAACUUGGUGGUACGGAAAUCAACUAAGUCNNNNNNNNNNNNNNNNNNNNNNNNNCAUACCUCAAAGAGUUUUUCCUUAAGUUACUACAACGUUCCGGAAAUUCUAGCCAUACCAAUCUACUUCGAGACAUAACAAAAUUGAACACAAAUUAGAAAGAUAUUCAUUAUUCUAGCUUAUUUGAGCAUUUUAUCAAAUUCUAGUUGAGCAUCUUGAUUUCAAAUCUCUUUUUCAAGGUUUUCCUUCAUUCCCCAACCAAAUCUUUACUUAUUUAUGUUAAAAAAUCUUCCAAUAAACCUAAGUUGUACAUGCAUGUAUACACAAUACUAAAACACCCAGGAAUCAUACCUCAAUAAUCCAUCUUAUACUCCAAACUCGAAAUUAAAACCUAGGGUAUUGAACCUUACCUCUUAGAUGAAGAAAUUAUGAUUGGGUUCUUUGAUUCUUGAGGAUUGAUGCAAGAUUUGGAUGAUUUAAAUGUUGGGUUCCUCCUUCUCUCUCUAAAAUGCUCUCACCUCUCUCUAAAAUCAAUAGAGAAUGACUCCAAAUGAAUCCCCAAAGACUAUAAAUUAAAAUGGGGUCGGGUUAUAAAAAUAGGAAAAUUAACCCUCUGAUGUCUAGUCUGCUAUAGCAAAAUGGACCGCAAAACGAGAAGGCUGGCCGCAUAAUGCACCGCAAAAUCGACGCCCAAAACUGGGCUACACUGUCCUAGUUUGCGACAGAAAUGCUACCACAAAGUCAGAAAUGCGAUAGGAUUUGCGGUUGCAGAUUUGACAUAGGAUCGCAUUUUUUCCAGCCAUUGGUAAUUUGAUCAUAACUUUGUGUAGGAAUGUCCAAAUGACUAACGGUUUGAAGCGUUAGAAACUAGACUCAAAGAGCUUCAUAUGAUAGGUUGUUCAUAACAUAAAACCUUAUAUAUACUUAGAUACGCUCGUUUAAAGUGGGGGCUUGUGUGAACUCAUUUGAAAUCUUAGCCUAUUAUGAACUUUUCCAAUUUUCCUUAGACUUAGGACUUUCCUUGGACCCCAAAUUACUUACAAUAAGACUUGAACACAUAUUUACCUAAUCCAAUUGAUGCCCACCAUGUUAAUAACACAUAAAAUAGUUUUAUAAGCCUACAUGGCACCACGAAAUCCUAGGUUGCUUAGCGAAAUAUUCCGGGGCCUUACACAUUCCCUGAUAGAACGAAUGAGAUUUCCCCCGGUCUUGGAUGAUUUGACAGCAUAGGCCUUCGCCCAAAGCCUAAACAAACCAAGCCCAACGAUUUCGGGGUAGUUCAAACAAAACUUGGUCGAGUACCCAGCCAAGAUCUGGUCGAAUGCCCGUACCCGGCACCUGUCACGAAUCAGGAUCGUGGACGACCAUCUGGGAGCCUCCUCGGGCUCAAUGUACCCAAGCAGGUUCCCAGCAAAGAGACUAAUGCCAAACAGAGGGAGGUACCACUCGUACAACGCGGAUAGGAGGAACAUCCUGAGACAUAAUCUACCUCUCAACGAUCGAGAAAUGGUCCGAGGGCAUCAUCCUCAAGGAAUCUUCAACAAAGCCAGAUUCCACGAGGCAUGGCCGGUAGGGUCACCUCGUCCAUCACAGUACAAUUUCAUCAUCACUAUACAAACAUCAUGUUCACCAAAAGCGGAACCAGGGACACCAAACGGCUCAGCCUUAUACGACCGAAUCCCCCUCAAAGAAACCACAAACUAGCGCGGGAACUGCAUGACAUGCACGACCACGGGGUCGAAAAUGGCUGCCAACUCAGGUGGAAAACAGUCAUGCAACCCAAUAAAAAUUGCCGUCAAGUACCGUCGAGCGAUCAGGCUCGAAUUCAGCCCCGAGGGAGGAAGCCAACCAGGAAGAAUGAAGUAAAUGAGCCGCGACGUAUUGCCAUGAUGGUGGAGGAGCGGCGACACCUUCCAAGGACUCAUACAAUGGAAAGUAAAAACGCUCUUUACCAAGAAAAGGCGGCUACGGGGAUACGUUCCGUAAGACGUCCUUAAAUCUAGCAAAAAAGACAUUGAUACUUUGCCUCAGCCACACACUGAAGCAUUGGUAACAUUUUCUCUCAUUUGAUCUAUUUCAAAUAAAAUAUGUGUUCAUGAAUUCAGGUGGUUCGAUCAACACAUUGACGUUGUCGGGCUGAGGUUAAUAGGGCGUCUCGGACCGCCGAGUCAAAACACAACCACCUCUUGAACCUUUAACAGAUUCCAGACGGUGAUCCCUACAGCAAGAAGAAAGACUAUUCUCUCGAUACAGCACGACUGGAUCGGACGGGAAUACCGAAUCCCAUACCGAUAAAGGAGAUGCAAGGCACGGACGUCGUACUUAGAUGGCCACGAGCACACCGCACGAAGACAGCGCCGCCCCCACUUCCCUCGAAGAAUGAAAUUCUAUGCAAGGGAUGGAAUUAAAAUCGUGAGCAGGAAGCAAUACGUAGCAAAAGGAAAUUCCGCAUUACCUGACACACCGCCAGCACCAACAUCUGCACUCUUGAAAGAAUCAAUGGGUAAGCGAACCACAUCUUCGGCAAUGUCUGAUGAAACGCGGCAGAGGGCUGAACUAGAACCCACACUCCGAAGAAGCAGGAACAUAUCAGACCUCGAAGCAUCCCCUACACACCCCACGGUAAAGAAAAACUACCUCUCUCCUUCAUUAUUUUCCACUAAUCUAUGUACAGGCAUCCGUCCAGGGCAUUUGGAAGUGCUAACUCUACCCGGGGACCCCAAAGCCUUAACAGGACCCGUCGCACUCUUCUCCCUCGACUGUACUUCCGCCCUAAAGAGGGUCUCGCUAGCGAGGUUCUUAGCGGAGCUGCGUACCCCUUGAGGAGGAUCCGACAAGAUCGCAAUCCUUCCUUAUGCAAUCAAACGAUGAAGGGUACCCCCCUCACUCUCUGAAAAGCGCCGACUGCUCAAAAGGGCCGGGGAACGACCGAAUCGAUUUCAAUAAGGAAUCAUGUACUGGACCAGAUGGUCCGACGAGCCGUGCCUGCGCGGGCCGAGCUCACAACAAUGAAACGAUAUGUGUUUAUGCCAAGCAAUAAAAGAAUAUCUUUUCAGCAUCUUAUAUGCCAAACAAGGAAAUCUCAGUAUACUCUCGGAAGGGACCCCUCCACCGAAUCCAUCCCGAAAUACUUGGAGACUUAGCGUCAGAAAGUUGUCACCCGCACGACCCCAGGGUUGGAACUCCAGGCUCAUAAAGCCCCAGCAAGGCAACUCCGAGGUCACGAAUACCGGCCUUCGAGCCCAACCAAACUCGAUGACUCGGAGACUAUCAUCAAUCGCCAUGCACUAGAAAACCCAAAACGGUAAGUCCCCGAGCGGGCAGACUCGAUAUAACCAAAUCUAUUCUACAUAGCAACAAAAACUGUAAUACCUCAACAGGCAUGACAAACUAUAAGACCUCAGCAAGCAUGACAAACUGUAAGACCUCAACAUGCAUGACAAAUUGUAAGACCUCAACAGGCAUGACAAACUUUAAGACCUCAAAAGGAAUGACAAAUUGUAAGACCUUACUACAUGCAUAAAACUCAAAAUCCCGAAGAUUAAGCUAUACGCCGCAUUUGUAAGAAUCCUGAAAGGGCAUACCCUCAGUGUAGAUACCUAAACUAUCACUUGGGAUAAAAAAAUUGGCUCCAGCCAAACAUAUGUGAAUACGGUCAAAACGGCUGAUCCAGCCAAAAUAAUGCGACUUGGGGACACCCGACCAUCGCUAACAAAAUCGUAGGCCACUACUUCGAAUAUUCUUUGAAAAGAACCGGUUAAAACAGGCUUCCCUCAACAGGCAAACGAGCUUCGACCACGUCAACUCCAAAUCACAAGGUUUCGACCUACUCAGCCUAUGAGCUAUGAACCUUACAAGGUGCUCAAAUAUCGCCGCUAACGACUUGAAAUCGAGGUUCUUCCCGAACCGACGAUGGGUCAAGCAAACCUAUUUCAAAAAGACCUUAACAAGGGGAAUAUAAUGCCUACGGGCAAAAGCGUAAGAGCCAUUACCGCCAGCCAAAAAAGCCUCCGGGCCUCACACUAAAAGGUCUUAACAACCAAACAGUGUAAGUGCCAUUGUCGCCAGCUUGAAAAUUGACAACUUGAGGAUUAAAAUGAGCUUGAGUCGCAACCCGAUUCGAAGACCGGAUCCAAAAUAGUUAACUACAAUAUUCCUAAGGGCAUGACAUAAAAGAUAUUAUUGCCAGCCAAAUGAGCCUCCGGGCCACGCACCUGUAAGGUCACUUCGACCCGAAGCACAAAAGGUCAUUGUCGUCCACCCAUGCAGGCAGGAAAGGAUAUAAUGGUCAAUUAAAGCUCAAAUUGCAAUGCGACUCGAAGACUGGACCCAAAAUAGAUGAAACAACAAAUGUCCAAGGGCAAGAAAUAAGAACGAUUACUAUCCGCCCACAUGGGCACAGAAGAUUGAAGGUCAGGCAAGCUCGAGUCAAGGCUUGACUCGGAGAAUAAGCCUAAACAGCUGGGCAAAGCACGGAGGCCCCAACGCCUGCUCACGUCAAAGAUCACACUCAAAAGCCUCCAAGCCUACCUAAUUAGCUCUGGACCCACGAGGUUCCCGCCAAACACCGAAACCAGCCCACCUGGUCAAAAGCCAUAUGGAAAGAGAUACAAAAGAGGUAAAGCUUCAAGUUUUCUCUUAUUUCAUAUAUGCAUGAAAGGCGUGCUCUCCAUCUACAAACAUGUUGUGCAAACAACAAAUAAAUUAUGGGAAAAUCUACACUCCACUCCAAAAGUCUAAGGCUAACCGGCCACACAUUCUCUCUCCAUAACGUUAUCAAGAAGUGACCGAGCGUCACACUCGUCCACCCUUGCUCGAGCCAAUUAAUCCGAGAGAACGAAACCCCUUGCGCCGAUCUCCUCGAGCACCUCUAUUCAGGAUCUAUAAUGAACUUAUUCCUCGAUCCUUUUCUCCUUGUCGAGGGCCCACUUCAAUCGGCUUGGGCAUCAGCAGCGUCCUUCACAUGAAUCGACAUCUCCUGAUCAGCCUUGGUUCCGCUUAAUGCCGCUUCAGCUCGGGCACCGAUAAUCUCAGCUCUGAUCUUCGAGAGAUUAGAUUCGAGUUUCCCGAUCAUAUCCGCUUGAACUAUAGCAUUUUCACGAGCCAAGCGAAGUUAGGCCUCGAUGGAAGGAACCUUGGCCAAAACACCACUCUCCUCAAAAGCUUGAGCUUGCACCUAAGCCCUUAUCCUACCACAAGCAUUCCUGGCGCGGUCGGUGUCGCCCUUGAAUUACUCCAAGGCCUCCGUCUUUUUCUGCAGCUAAUGUUGAAAAAAGGGGUUAACCUUAAGGGCCAAAAAAAAGCGAAGAACGUGCUACAAAAGGUUACAUGCUCCAUCAAAUAGCUCUCGUAGUUCGAGCUCCAGUACACCUCAUAUUGCCAAUGCAGCGACUCAACCUCCUUCUCCUCGCUAAGGAGCCUAAGGGACUCACCGUCGUCUAAAACUUUCCAAAGCUUGGCCCCUUGACGGAGCAGCUCAAACCUAAGCCGAUCAUAGGCUUGCAAAAGGAAAACUCGAUGAAGAAAGGACGACACAAAAUACAGAAGAACUACGCCUAAACUCACCAUGAGGACUUCCUUGAGGUCGGAGCACACUCCUAUUUAUCUUUCCCUUUCGGCCCCACGGGCAGAGCAUAUUCACUAAGAGAAUCCACCGUCCGAGAAUAAAACACUCCAGGAAUGGCAGGCUCAGGUGAUGCCCUCUCCUCGAAGACACGUGCCCAUUCAACCCCACUAAAAGCUGUCAUAUUGUGGGUACGGAUCCCGUUUGUCGCCAUCGUCCCUUAGCUCGGAGGCCGACAAUUCCUUUCCCUCUCCGGAAGAGCACAUCCUCCCCCUAAGGAGCCGCUCGAUGCCUACAAUAGCAAUACUAGUGCAAAAGAAAAAGGAAAGUGUAAUCUCAAAUGUAUGAACACCAGGGUCAGGCAUCGUACACGUAUACCUUGGUAUUUC